rnacentral:rRNA from 1 species
UGAGGAAUAUUGGUCAAUGGGCGCAAGCCUGAACCAGCCAUCCCGCGUGCAGGAAGACGGCCCUAUUGGUUGUAAACUGCUUUUCCAGGGAGAGAAACCUGCGCACGUGUUGCGCAAUUGACGGUACCCUGGGAAUAAGCAUCGGCUAACUCCGUGCCAGCAGCCGCUGUUAUACUGAGUAUGCACGCGUUAUCCGUUUUCAUUGGGUUUAAAGGGUGCGUAGGCGGACUAUUAAGUCAGUGGUGAAAGCCUUCAGCUUAACUGCAGAACUGCAAUUGAUAAUGAUAGUCUUGAGUUUGGUUAAGGUAGGCGGAAUGUGUAAUGUAGCGG